rnacentral:rRNA from 1 species
GAGUUUGAUCCUGGCUCAGGACGAACGCUGGCGGCGUGCCUAAUACAUGCAAGUCGAACGCGCAAAGUUGAAGAGCUUGCUCUUUAACCAAGUGAGUGGCGGACGGGUGAGUAACACGUGGGUAACCUGCCCAUUAGAGGGGGAUAACAUUCGGAAACGGAUGCUAAUACCGCAUAGUUUCAGGAAUCGCAUGAUUCUUGAAGGAAAGGUGGCUUCGGCUACCACUAAUGGAUGGACCCGCGGCGUAUUAGCUAGUUGGUGAGGUAAUGGCUCACCAAGGCAAUGAUACGUAGCCGACCUGAGAGGGUGAUCGGCCACACUGGGACUGAGACACGGCCCAGACUCCUACGGGAGGCAGCAGUAGGGAAUCUUCCGCAAUGGACGAAAGUCUGACGGAGCAACGCCGCGUGAGUGAAGAAGGUUUUCGGAUCGUAAAACUCUGUUGUUAAAGAAGAACAAGGAUGAGAGUAACUGCUCAUCCCCUGACGGUAUUUAACCAGAAAGCCACGGCUAACUACGUGCCAGCAGCCGCGGUAAUACGUAGGUGGCAAGCGUUGUCCGGAUUUAUUGGGCGUAAAGCGAGCGCAGGCGGUUCUUUAAGUCUGAUGUGAAAGCCCCCGGCUCAACCGGGGAGGGUCAUUGGAAACUGGAGAACUUGAGUGCAGAAGAGGAGAGUGGAAUUCCACGUGUAGCGGUAAAAUGCGUAGAUAUGUGGAGGAACACCAGUGGCGAAGGCGACUCUCUGGUCUGUAACUGACGCUGAGGCUCGAAAGCGUGGGGAGCAAACAGGAUUAGAUAC